rnacentral:rRNA from 1 species
CCUACGGGAGACAGCAGUGGGGAAUAUUGCACAAUGGGGGAAACCCUGAUGCAGCGACGCCGCGUGAGUGAAGAAGUAAUUCGUUAUGUAAAGCUCUAUCAGCAGGGAAGUAAAUGACGGUACCUGAUUAAGAAGCCCCGGCUAACUACGUGCCAGCAGCCGCGGUAAUACGUAGGGGGCAAGCGUUAUCCGGAUUUCCUGGGUGUAACGGGUACGUAGACGGCAGUGCAAGUCUGGAGUGAAAGGCGGGGGCUCAACCACCGGACUGCUCUGGAAACUGGACGGCUGGAGUGCAGGAGAGGUAAGUGGAAUUCCUGGUGUAGCGGUGAAAUGCGUAGAUAUUAGGCGGAACACCAGUGGCGAAGGCGGCUUACUGGACUGUAACUGACGUUGAGGCUCGAAAGCGUGGGGAGCAAACAGGAUUAGAUACCCCAGUAGUC